CUUGGAGUGCGGACAGCCCUACAGCAUAACACUCACAGCAUCCAAUUCCAGGUGCAACAGUACAGCCAGACCCGUCCCAUUUUACACAGCUCCUUGUGUUCCAUCCAACGUGACCGCUGUAGUGGUAUGUGGAAUGAAUACAGCAGAUAUCUCAUGGGGUCCAACGGAGGGAGCUUUCAAUUACACAGCGACAGUUGUAGGGCCUAGUGGGGAACAUUCAUGCAGUACAGAAGAAUUAACCUGCAAUGCUGAACUGCCAGAAUGUGGUCAAACAUACAAUGUCACAGUCACCGCUAUACAUGACCGGUGCAGCACUGAGAGCUUAGCCCUGAAGUUCCAUAGUGGUCCCUGCAGGCCAGAGAUUGUGGCAGCCAUAAUAAACUGUGAUAACAGCACUGCAUCUGUGAGCUGGGACUCCGCUGCUGGAGCACAAAG